rnacentral:rRNA from 1 species
AGCUUGCUCUUCAAAUCGAGUGGCGAACGGGUGAGUAACGCGUGAGGAACCUGCCUUGUACUGGGGGACAACAGUUGGAAACGACUGCUAAUACCGCAUAAGCGCACAGGAUUGCAUGAUCCAGUGUGAAAAACUCCGGUGGUAUGAGAUGGACCCGCGUCUGAUUAGCCAGUUGGCGGGGUAACGGCCCACCAAAGCGACGAUCAGUAGCCGGUCUGAGAGGAUGAACGGCCACACUGGAACUGAGACACGGUCCAGACUCC